rnacentral:rRNA from 1 species
GCUUACGGCCACACCUCCCUGAGCACCGCCCGAUCUCGUCUGAUCUCGGAAGCUAAGCAGGUCGGGCCCGGUUAGUACUUGAUGGAAACCGCCUGGAAUACCAGGUGCUGUAAGCC